rnacentral:rRNA from 1 species
GCAGGCAUCAAGUUCCUGCUCCGACAUGCCUGCGGGCAAAGGCCACGAAAGGCCAGCUCUCCGAAAGCGCACGAACAUACUACAAACUGUUGAUUUUGGUACACCCAGGCGACGCCCGGCCACAACCCGGGGUAAAUGUUCUUCAAAGUGAAGACGUAAAGCUUCAGUGAUCCAGGUCCGGUGUUUCAUACGAUAGUGUCCAUUAAAAUGAUGGACAUUAUUUUUGUAGAGCCGGAGGAAAC